rnacentral:rRNA from 1 species
GACGAACGCUGGCGGCGUGCCUAACACAUGCAAGUCGAGCGAGGAGAUUCCCUUCGGGGAUGAACCUAGCGGCGGACGGGUGAGUAACACGUGGGCAACCUGCCUUAUCGAGGGGAAUAGCCUUUCGAAAGGAAGAUUAAUACCGCAUAAGAUUGCAUUUUCGCAUGAAGAAGCAAUUAAAGGAGCAAUCCGCUAUAAGAUGGGCCCGCGGCGCAUUAGCUAGUUGGUGAGGUAACGGCUCACCAAGGCGACGAUGCGUAGCCGACCUGAGCGGGCGAUCGGCCACAUUGGGACUGAGACACGGCCCAGACUCCUACGGGAGGCAGCAGUGGGGAAUAUUGCACAAUGGAGGAAACUCUGAUGCAGCAACGCCGCGUGAGUGAUGAAGGUUUUCGGAUCGUAAAGCUCUGUCUUCAGGGACGAUAAUGACGGUACCUGAGGAGGAAGCCACGGCUAACUACGUGCCAGCAGCCGCAGUAAGAC